rnacentral:rRNA from 1 species
GACGAACGCUGGCGGCGUGCUUAACACAUGCAAGUCGAACGGUGAAGCGCCUUCCUUUUUGGUGGGUGUGGAUGAGUGGCGAACGGGUGAGUAACACGUGAGUAACCUGCCCCCUUCUUCUGGAUAACCGCAUGAAAGUGUGGCUAAUACGGGAUAUUCUGGGUCUGUCGCAUGAUGGGUCUGGGAAAGAUAUUGUUUCGGUGGGGGAUGGGCUCGCGGCCUAUCAGCUUGUUGGUGGGGUGAUGGCCUACCAAGGCGGUGACGGGUAGCCGGCCUGAGAGGGUGGACGGUCACACUGGGACUGAGACACGGCCCAGACUCCUACGGGAGGCAGCAGUGGGGAAUGUUGCACAAUGGGCGCAAGCCUGAUGCAGCGACGCCGCGUGAGGGAUGGAGGCCUUCGGGUUGUGAACCUCUUUCGCCAGUGAAGCAGGCCUGCCUCGUUUGUGGGUGGGUUGACGGUAGCUGGAUAAGAAGCGCCGGCUAACUACGU